rfam:Callithrix jacchus chromosome 3, whole genome shotgun sequence
GUAGUUAUAGUUUAAUUAAAACAUUACAUUGUGAAUGUAACAACAGAAGCUCACAACUUCUUAUCUACC